rnacentral:rRNA from 1 species
CCUGGACCCGAAGCGGGAUGAUCUAGCCCUGGGCAGGUUGAAGCGCGGGUAAGACCGCGUGGAGGACCGAACCCACCUGGGUUGAAAACCGGGGGGAUGACCUGGGGCUAGGGGUGAAAGGCCAAUCAAAUUCCGUGAUAGCUGGUUCUCUCCGAAAUGCAUUUAGGUGCAGCGUCGGUCGAUUGCGUCGCGGGGGUAGAGCUACCGGAUGCUUGCGGGCCCUUGUUGGGUACCAACAGCAGCCGAACUCCGAAUACCGUUGACGUGUAUUCCGGCAGUGAGUCGGCGGGGGAUAAGCUCCGUCGUCGAGAGGGAGACAGCCCAGACCGUCGUCUAAGGUCCCGAAGCGUGUGCUAAGUGGGAAAGGAUGUGGAGUCGCAUAGACAGCCAGGAGGUUGGCUCAGAAGCAGCCAUCCUUGAAAGAGUGCGUAACAGCUCACUGGUCUAGUGGUUCCGCGCCGACAAUGUAGCGGGGCUCAAGCACACCACCGAAGACGCGGCAGCGCAUCUGAUGCGCUGGGUAGGAGAGCGUCCUGCGAGGGGCGAAGCGGCCGGGUGACCGUGCCGUGGACUUCGUGGGAGUGAGAAUGCAGACAUGAGUAGCGAGAGACGGGUGAGGAUCCCGUCCGCUGGAUGACCAAGGGUUCCGGGGCCACGUUCGUCGUCCCCGGGUGAGUCGGGUCCUAAGGCGAGGCCGACAGGCGUAGUCGAAUGGAUGAACGGGUGGAUAUUCCCGUACCGACCAUGGACCGGCAAAACCGAGACGGUGAGUACUAACCUCCGCCUCGUGGUGGUUCCUUCCUUCGGGUUGGUUCCGCCGCGUGGUGUUGGGACUGUAGCCGUAGUAGGUCAGCGCAGGGGUGACACGGAAUGGGAGCCGGCCGCGGAGGUGGUUUUCCGUGGUCAAGCACGCAGCCAGUCAUGUAGGCAAAUCCGCAUGGCGCGCAUGGCGAGGUGUGAUGAUGGGAGCCGUUAUGGCUCGAUAUCCGGUUGUCCAGGCCGUCGAGAAAAGCCUCGGCGUGAGGGCCAUGGCCGCCCGUACCCCAAACCGACACUGGUGGUCAGGUAGAGAAUACCAAGGCGAUCGAGCGAAUCCUGGUCAAGGAACUCGGCAAAUCACUCCCGUGCCUUCGGUAUAAGGGAGACCCGCUGGGGUGAACCGGCUAGCCCGGGGAGCUUUGGUGGGUGGCACAGACCAGGGGGUAGCGACUGUUUACCAAAAACACAGGUGCAUGCGAAGGCGAAAGCCGCUGUAUAUGCACUGACGCCUGCCCGGUGCCGGAAGGUUAAGAGGAUCCGUCAAUCCCUUCGGGGAUGAAGCGGUGAAUUCAAGCCCCGGUAAACGGCGGUGGUAACUAUAACCAUCCUAAGGUAGCGAAAUUCCUUGUCGGGUAAGUUCCGACCUGCACGAAUGGCGUAACGACUUCCCCACUGUCUCGACCAGGAGCUCGGCGAAAUUGCAGUACGAGUAAAGAUGCUCGUUAAGCGCAGAAGGACGAAAAGACCCCGGGACCUUUACUAUACCUUGGUAUUGGCGUUAGGCGCGGAUUGUGUAGCAUAGGCGGGAGGCUUCGAAGCGGGUGCGCCAGCAUUCGUGGAGCCGCAAGGUGAAAUACCGCUCUGUUCUCGUUUGACGUCUAACCUCGACAAGUCAUCCUUGUCAGGGACAGUGCCUGGCGGGUAGUUCAACUGGGGCGGUUGCCUCCCAAAGAGUAACGGAGGCGCUCAAAGGUCCGCUCAGCCCGGUUGGCAAUCGGGUGUCGAGUGUAAUCGCACAAGCGGGCUUGACUGCGAGGACGACGGUCCGAGCAGGGACGAAAGUCGGAGAUAGUGAUCCGGUGCCGGCGCACGGGCGCGGCAUCGCUCAACGGAUAAAAGGUACCCCGGGGAUAACAGGCUGAUCAUUCCCAAGAGUCCAUAUCGACGGGAUGGUUUGGCACCUCGAUGUCGGCUCGUCGCAUCCUGGGGCUGGAGCAGGUCCCAAGGGUUCGGCUGUUCGCCGAUUAAAGCGGCACGCGAGCUGGGUUCAGAACGUCGUGAGACAGUUUGGUCUCUAUCCUCUGCGCUCGUUGGAAUCCUGAGGAGGCCUGCCCAUAGUACGAGAGGACCUGGGUGGACGAACCUCUGGUAUGCCGGUUGUCGCGCCAGCGGCACGGCCGGUUGGCUACGUUCGGGAGGGAUAACCGCUGAAAGCAUCUAAGCGGGAAGCCUGCUCCAAGAUUAGGAUUCCAUGGAUCUUCGAGAUCCUGUAGCCCGCAUGUUGAACACGUGUUUGAUAGGCCGGAGGUGGAAGCCCCGUGAGGGGUGGAGCCGACCGGUACUAACGGGCGAUGGCGACACAAC